CUGGGCCUCCACCAAGGCCCCAUAGGUCUAUCCUCUGACUGCUAGAUGCGGGGACAUGCCUGGCUCCACAGUGGCCUUCGGCUGCCUGGUCUGGGGCUACAUCCCUGAGCCGGUGACGGUGACUUGGAACUCGGGCUCCCUGACCAGCGGCGUCCACAUCUUCCUAUCAGUCUUCAUGUCCUCGGGGCUCUACUCCCUCAGCAGCUUGGUGACUCUGCCUGCCAGUAGCUCGACCGGCAAGACCUUCAUCUGCAACAUAGCCCACCCGGCCAGCAGCACCAAGGUGGACAAGCGUGUGGAACCACAUGGAGGGUGCACGUGUCCCAAAUGUCCGGCCCCUGAGCUCCCGGGAGGGCCCUCCGUCUUCGUCUUCCCCCCGAAACCCAAGGACGUCCUCUCCAUUUCUGGGAGGCCCGAGGUCACAUGCGUUGUGGUGGACGUGGGUAAGGAAGACCCAGAGGUCAAUUUCAACUGGUACAUUGAUGGCGUGGAGGUGCGAACGGCCAACACGAAGCCAAAGGAGGAACAGUUCAAUAGCACGUACCACGUGGUCAGCGUCCUGCUCAUCCAGCACCAGGUCUGGCUGACGGGGAAGGAAUUCAAGUGCAGGGUCAACAACAAAGUUCUCCCGGCCCCCAUUGAGAGGACCAUCUCCAAGGCCAAAGGGCAGACCCGAGAGCCGCAGGUGUAUACCCUGGCCCCACACAGGGAAGAGCUGGCCAAGGACACUGUGAGCAUAACCUGCCUGGUCAAAGGCUUCUACCCAGCUGACAUCAACGUUGAGUAGCAGAGGAACGGGCAGCCGGAAUCAGAGGGCACCUACGCCAACAUGCUGCCCCAGCUGGACAACGAGGGGACCUGCUUCCUCUACAGCAAGCUCUCGGUGGGAAAGAACACGUGGCAGUGGGGAGAAACCUUCACCUGUGUGGUGAUACACGAGGCCCUGCACAACCACUACACCCAGAAAUCCAUCACCCAGUCUUCGGAGCCACUCCUGGAGGAGGAGAGCUGUGCCAAGGCCCAGAGUGGAGAGCUGGACAGGCUGUGGACCACCAUCUCCAUCUUCAUCACCCUCUUCCUGCUCAGCGUGUGCUACAGCGCCACAGUGACCCUCUUCAAGGUGAAGUGGAUCUUCUCCUCGGUGGUGAAGCUGAAGCAGAUGAUCGUCCCAGACUACAGAAACAUGAUCGGGCAGGGGGCCUAGCGUGUCCUCUGGGGGUGUCCACGGCCACCACAGGCCCCAGAGGUACCCCGUUCAUCACUCUGAGCUGCUCAGCCACUACUCCGCCCGCUGCCCUGCCAGCUCUGAACUCUCGGCCGUGCUCACCCGCACCUGCAUCCUCCGACCUCACGGCCACCACCAACCACACCCUGCACCCUGCCCACCUUCAGGGGCCAAGUGGACAGCAGGUGCUACCACCAACCUGAGCUGAGGGGUCUGCCUGUCCUCACUGGGAGUGCCCGGGGCACCCUGGGGUUCCCCUGGAUGAGCAGGAAGCUGGCAUCCCGGGGCAGUGG